rnacentral:tRNA from 1 species
GUUCAGUUGGUUAGAAUACCGGCCUGUCACGCCGGGGGUCGCGGGUUCGAGUCCCGUCCACUCCG